rnacentral:rRNA from 1 species
UCGAGAAUCUUCCACAAUGGACGAAAGUCUGAUGGAGCGACAUCGCGUGACUGAUGAAGGGCUUCGGUUUGUAAAGGUCUUUUAUGAGAGAAGAAGUUUAUUGACGGUAUCUCAUGAAUAAGGGGUUGCUAAACUCGUGCCAGCAGCAGCGGUAAUACGAGUACCCCAAGCGUUAUCCGGAUUUAUUGGGCGUAAAGGGUAAGUAGGUGGUCUAAUUAGUCGAAUGUCAAAGCCAGGGGCUUAACCUCUGAUCCGCAUUCGAAACGGUUAGACUUGAGGUUGCGAGAGGUGUACGGAACUCAUAGUGUAGGGGUGAAAUCCGUUGAUAUUAUGGGGAACACCAAAAGCGAAGGCAGUACACUGGCGCACACCUGACACUGAAUUACGAAAGCGUGGGUAG